CACAACAAUGAGAGGGUGUGGCUGACUAUUUCUCAAUACUCUUGAGGAAUAUUGGCCCGUUUCUGCACUGCAUGACACAUAAUGAAACACACUGCACGCAGCUCUGGAUGAUUUUCCAUGACAGGCUUUAUGAAAUGGACUCUCCCUCAACUCAAACUGGUGGUGGAUGAAUCUGGGAUGCAGACAUGCACACAGCGACUCUGCUCCCUCUGCAACAACUGCCACAUCACGUCAUGGAUGGGUAGGGUUUGUUUACUGCUGACUGACAGCUCAGAGGCUAUAACUUCUUGUGAAGCACCAUGCACCCACUGUCUCCUACAUGCUGCUAUCUGGCUGCAGAUUUAAGGACAGACAGAUUAAAAGGGCGGGUACUCGCGGCGCUCUCAAGGCAGCAUAGCCGAGGAGGAGAUUCAUCUACGAGGCUUCAGCAGCAGCAGCACGCGGUGUCGUCAGCCCGGUUAUCUGCUGUCCAGAGGCGCACAGAGAGAGACCAGUGACACCCCGACCAAGCCCUUUCUGUCUGCUCACCCUAAUAUCGCAUCCGCAGGAGAAAGGAAGUCCCGCCUGGAGCUCGGGGUGCGCGCGUUUUGGGACGCGGGGUCGCACGAGUGAACGGCAACAGGAUGUCUGUGUUGUAAACGUGUUGAUGGUAGUAAAACUGCUGCUGCAGAAGAGAGAGAAAAUGUCAAGUGGUAUUUAAUUUAAAGGUGCAAGCUGUAUGUGAGAAAGGAGCAGUGAUGGGAGAUCUGCAGGCCAAGUUCAAACUUGAGACCCUUAUCUCUUUAAAUGAUUUUAAACUUAGAAUAAUGGAUGUGGUCACUGCUGGCUGCAACUAACUAACUAACUAACUAGAAAGAGUUUCCCUACGGGGAUCAAUAAAGUAUUUCUGAUUCUGAUUCUGAUUCUAACUUACACAUGACUAAAUAUUGCUGCCUAGUUAAUGCACUGUGUGCAAUGUAUUUUUUGUCGUACCUAUUGUUGCUGUGAUCUGAUGUUGUGUUGGAUGCUGAUAUUUAACCCUGUCUUGGCUGGUCUCACUUGUAAAACAGGCUUUAAUCUCAAUGUGACUUCCUAAUUAAAUAAAGGUUAUAUAAUAGGCUGAA